ensembl:lncRNA
UGAAAAGCUGAAAGUAAUGGAAUAAAAUGAAGGGACGGAUAAACAUGGUGAAGAAAGGAGUUCAGAAACGAGCCAUCUCGUGCUCCCUUGGAGGGAUUGACCAUUGGUACGAUGAAAUCACUGCAGUAUUUUGUGAACCUUGAACCUGUGAGUCACACAGACACAAACAUCCUGAUUGCUGUAU